GAUGAACGCUGGCGGCGUGCCUAAUACAUGCAAGUCGAGCGAACGGACGAGAAGCUUGCUUCUCUGAUGUUAGCGGCGGACGGGUGAGUAACACGUGGAUAACCUACCUAUAAGACUGGGAUAACUUCGGGAAACCGGAGCUAAUACCGGAUAAUAUUUUGAACCGCAUGGUUCAAAAGUGAAAGACGGUCUUGCUGUCACUUAUAGAUGGAUCCGCGCUGCAUUAGCUAGUUGGUAAGGUAACGGCUUACCAAGGCAACGAUGCAUAGCCGACCUGAGAGGGUGAUCGGCCACACUGGAACUGAGACACGGUCCAGACUCCUACGGGGGGCAGCAGUUGGGAAUCUUCCGCAAAGGGCGAAAGCCUGACGGAGCAACGCCGCGUGAGUGAUGAAGGUCUUCGGAUCGUAAAACUCUGUUAUUAGGGAAGAACAUAUGUGUAAGUAACUGUGCACAUCUUGACGGUACCUAAUCAGAAAGCCACGGCUAACUACGUG
rnacentral:rRNA from 1 species